rnacentral:rRNA from 1 species
AAAACAUGGCUCUUUGAGAUUUAUAUAUAAAGAGUCGGGCCUGCCCAGUGAUGUAUUUUUAACGGCCGCGGUACUCUGACCGUGCGAAGGUAGCAUAAUCAUUUGCCCUAUAAUUGAGGGCUAGUAUGAAUGGUUUGACAUGAGCAUAACUGUCUCCUUAAAAUUUUAUAAAAUUUGGUUUUUAGGUGAAGAAACCUAAAUUAAAUUGAAAGACAAGAAGACCCUAUCGAGCUUUAGAAUAAUUAGUUAAAAAAUAUAAAUAAAACAAUUAAUUUUAAUUAAAAACUUUGGUUGGGGCGACUGAGGAACAUAUAAAGCUUCCUUAAUUAAACAAUGCUGAUAAGCAAUGAUCCAGGAAAUCUGAUUAAAAAAAUUAGUUACCGUAGGGAUAACAGCAUAAUCUUUUUUGAGAGCUCUUAUCGAAAAAAAGGUUUGUGACCUCGAUGUUGGACUAGGAUAUCCUAAAGAUGUAGAAGUCUUUAAUGGUUGCUCUGUUCGAGCAUAAAAAUCCUACGUGAUC